rnacentral:rRNA from 1 species
AUGGAGAGCCUCCUCCACUGGGACUUCUCCCCGGGUUUCGCGAUUGAAUCUCAGGUACGUGCCAAAUUCAGAUCCACGGUGCACUUCUCGCCGACUCAAUCCGGAUCUUCUAAGGAAUUCUAUCUGGUGGUUUCGUUCUCCUCGGCAUCCUUUCAUCUCACGGAGGAAUCGGUGGCGCUAGCCCUACAAUCUUGCAUUGGU